CAACAUUCUCAUUGUUAGAUGGAGGUGCUUGUCACUCAGAUGCCGAUGCAUGUCAGAAUCAGGACAAUUUUGGAGAGACAACCGACUGUGGUGCGACAGGGACGUCAUCGAAGCAUACAGUGUAUGAAAUUAUCCAAACAGAGCUGGUGUGCGAACAUCAAACUCUCCACCUGGAGUGUGAUUGUGGUUUUAUUUACAUACUGAGCGCCAACUAUGGACGUAAAGAUGGAGUCACGUGUGGAGGUCCUGUACAGACAACUGACUGUUCUGCUACUACUAGCUACAAUAUCGUCUAUGGUGCAUGCGACGGAGAAAUAUCAUGUGACGUGGUUGCCGAGAAUGAUGUGUUUGGCGAUCCGUGUGUGGGUACUGUCAAGUACCUUGAAGUGGAAUACCACUGCAAUCAAAUUAGUGGUGAAUUACACAUUGAAUAAUUAAAAUUAUCUUGAAGUGGAAUAUGCAUGUGUAUAGAAUCUUGCACUGAAUGUAUCGAGUUGAUGUACUUAGUUAAUGACAACAACAUUAAUUUAAGAUAAAGAUAUCAUGGCGUUUUCGACUACAUCCACAUCAAUUACUUUCAGUAAUAUUUAGCUUAUUUGCAACUUUACGGCAUUAUUCAAUAUUAAAACCCAGUUAUCAUUACUAUGGAUAGAACAAUCGAAA